rnacentral:rRNA from 1 species
AUGAGUUCUUUGUCAUCUUCAUCUGGCGACGAUGAACUCAUACUUGCAGCAUUCGCCGAGCGCGAGGAGGAAGAGAGGAUGAACGCUCGACGCCAUGGCGGUUCCAAGCAUGGACGUCAAACAAUCAAUCGAGGAAGAGAUGCCGGAUUUGUUCUUCUGUGGGACGACUACUUCAAAGAAGUUCCUCGCUAUCCCGAACAUUUGUUUCGACGAAGAUUUAGGAUGUCCCGUAAUUUGUUCAAACGCAUAGCCAAUGGUAUACUUGAGCAUGAUUAUGAUGGUUAUUUUACUCAAAAAAGAAGUGCUUCUGGAGCUCUUAGGUUACAUCCUCUGCAAAAGAUGACCGCGGCAAUGCGGAUGCUAACAUAUGGAAUAGCAGCUGAUGGUGCUGAUGAGUACAUCCGGUCCGCUGAGGCUACUAAUUUAGAGUCUUGCAAGAAAUUUGUGAUCAAAGUUUGUGAAGUUUUUGAGGAAAGGUACCUGAGAUCUCCAAAUGAAGAAGACAUUGCUAGGUUACUUGCAAUAGGGGAGGAAAGAGGAUUUCCUGGUAUGUUAGGGAGCAUAGAUUGCAUGCACUGGGGUUGA